rnacentral:lncRNA from 1 species
UUUGCUAGUUUUAGACAAACUUUUUGACAACAAACAUUUUCAGUUUUGUAUUUUUGAGUACUUUAAUUAAGAAUAUUAGAGUGUAUCGCUCUAUGCACUAGUUAGUAUUCAAACCAAAUAAAUUGAAUUAUCGAACCGAAUAUACCGAAACCGAAAGGAGAAAAACCGAACCGUAACGAAUUUAAUUAGGUACAAUAUUGGUAUAGAAUUUUAAGAAAUCGAAUACUGAAAAUACCGAAUCGAAUUAUCUAAAUAUCGUACCGUAUCGACCGGCGAACACCCACAUGUUUGCAAUUCUAUAUAAGAAUAAGUGUAUGUAGCUUUGAAUUUAAUUAAAUCUACGUAUUAAAUUCCAAUAACGUACAUGAUUACAAGAUGUUUGAAUAAUUUGAAUUGCAAGUAGUUGCACAUGUUUCAUACGCCAGAUAUCGCAUAUGCCAUUUUUGGCUUUUUCAUGCCUAUGUAUUUAAUAUAAGCAUGUCAACCUUUAAACAUCAAGAGGAUGUUAUCAUAA